GACCCGAGACCGUCGAUGUUUCCCGAGGCGAAGCCUUCGCCUCGGGAAACAUCGACGGUCAAGG